rnacentral:tRNA from 1 species
GUCAGGAUGUCCGAGCGGUCUAAGGCGCUGCGUUCAGGUCGCAGUCUCUCCCCUGGAGCGUGGGUUCGAAUCCCACUUCUGACA